AAGUCGUAACAAGGUUUCCGUAGGUGAACCUGCGGAAGGAUCAUUAACACGUAUCCACGUAUCAACUCUGUGCUCAUGUAAACGUGCGCGAUUCUGCAGCUUGGUACCGCUAGCGGUGAGAUGUGGUGUUGCUGCUAGCUAGUGGUCUCCUUUCGGGGAGAACCCAGAGGGCGAGCUGUGGCUGCGCUAACCACCCGGGUUCCUUUUUUUUUUCCCUCGGGAAAUUUUAGGGGGCUCGGUGAUUGGCUUAUUUUAUUUUUAACCCCAUGUAACUAUUCUUAACUGAUCUUUUUAAUGUUUCGUCUCUCGGGAUGGAAUAUCAAAAUUUACGUAACCAAAAACAAUUCUUAGCAACGGAUAUCUUGGUUCUC
rnacentral:misc_RNA from 1 species